UUUCCAAUUUCCAUAUUGCACCUACACUUACACACUCUAUUCAACUAUGUAAAAAUUUCUAAUAGAUGAUAUAAGCUGCCUCAUGAGUCAAUCCAGGAGAACAGAGCACGAGGGUGGAUAUAAGCUAGUCUGAUGUUGACAGAGUAUCAAACAGCUGAAGCAAUUCCGAUGGCGGUAGGGAAGAUUCUUUAGUGAUCCAAACAGAAAAAAAUACUCCUAUGUGGUAACUUAUUCAAUAAUCUCAGUUCCCACAAGUGAGUGGAAAGGUGAG
ensembl:lincRNA